GAUGAAGAACGUAGCGAAAUGCGAUAAGUAAUGUGAAUUGCAGAAUUCAGUGAAUCAUCGAAUCUUUGAACGCACAUUGCGCCCGCCAGUAUUCUGGCGGGCAUGCCUGUUCGAGCGUCAUUACAACCCUCAGGCCCCCGGGCCUGGCGUUGGGGAUCGGCGGAAGCCCCCUGCGGGCACAACGCCGUCCCCCAAAUACAGUGGCGGUCCCGCCGCAGCUUCCAUUGCGUAGUAGCUAACACCUCGCAACUGGAGAGCGGCGAGGCCACGCCGUAAAACACCCAACUUCUGAAUGUUGACCUCGAAUCAGGUAGGAAUACCCGCUGAACUUAAGCAUAUCAAUAAGCGGAGGA
rnacentral:misc_RNA from 1 species